rnacentral:misc_RNA from 1 species
UGUGCCUCUCCAUGAAUUCACUCAUAUCAAGCCUGAUCAUGGCCUCCUCAGAUCCAAAGUAAUAUGCUGCAAGUGCUUUUGCGAGCUCGGAUUUACCAACACCGGUUGGACCUGCGAAAAUGAAGCUUGCAAUCGGCCUGUUCGGGUUCUUGAGGCCCACACGAGCACGGCGGAUGGAGCGACUUAUGGCUUUCACAGCCUCAUCUUGACCAAUGACACGCUG